rnacentral:rRNA from 1 species
CCUACGGGUGGCAGCAGUGAGGAAUAUUGGUCAAUGGACGAGAGUCUGAACUAGCCAAGUAGCGUGAAGGAUGACUGCCCUAUGGGUUGUAAACUUCUUUUAUAUGGGAAUAAAAUGUUCCACGUGUGGGAUUUUGUAUGUACCAUAUGAAUAAGGAUCGGCUAACUCCGUGCCAGCAGCCGCGGUAAUACGGAGGAGCCGAUCGUUAUCCGGAUUUCUUGGGGUUAAAGGGGGCGUAGGUGGAUUGUUAAGUCAGUUGUGAAUGUUUGCGGCUCAACCGUAAAAUUGCAGGUGAAACUGGCAGUCUGGAGUACAGUAGAGGUGGGCGGAAUUCGUGGUGUAGCGGUGAAAUGCUUAGAUAUCACGAAGAACUCCGAGUGCGAAGGCAGCUCACUGGACUGCAACUGACACUGAGGCUCGAAAGUGUGGGUAUCAAACAGGAUUAGAUACCCGGGUAGUC